rnacentral:hammerhead_ribozyme from 1 species
AUGCAGCUGACGAGUCCCAAAUGGGACGAAACGCGUGUCCUGGAU